CUUGUACUACCUCCGUCCGAAAAUACUUGUCAUUGAAAUGGAUGUAUCUAGAUGUAUUUUAGUUCUAGACACAUCCAUUUUGAUGACAAGUAAUUCCGGACGGAGGGAGUACUUG
rfam:Triticum aestivum genome assembly, contig: Triticum_aestivum_CS42_TGACv1_scaffold_433956_5DL